CAUUGUGAGGUGGAAUCUGAAGGAAGGUGGAGGCAAAAUCGCUAGUAUGACAAACAGAAAUCACACUAGUCUAUAGUUAAGGAUGAGGUUGCAAUACAAACCAACAUCCAAUAACUACGCAGAAUUAACUAUGGUAAAUGUGGCAGAUAUAUGGAGAGAAAGAAAC
rnacentral:ncRNA from 1 species